UACCAGCACCCCGAGUGGUCGGGACGUUUAUUGGGCCUAAAGCAUCCGUAGCCGGUUCUACAAGUCUUCCGUUAAAUCCACCUGCUCAACAGAUGGGCUGCGGAAGAUACUAUGGAGCUAGGAGGCGGGAGAGGCGAGCGGUACUCGAUGGGUAGGGGUAAAAUCCGUUGAUCCAUUGAAGACCACCAGUGGCGAAGGCGGCUUGCCAGAACGCGCUCGACGGUGAGGGAUGAAAGCUGGGGGAGCAAACCGG
rnacentral:rRNA from 1 species